CGGUUGAUUUCGUGCGUCGGUCGAUGCGGGAGGAAAGGGUCGCAACGCUGACUUCCAGAACCCUAGCGCCCAACUUGGGUUGGAGUUCGCGAGGCGGAAGUGAAGUAUCUCCCAAUCUUUUGUGCCAAUUGUUAUUCUCCGCUCCACGGACAAACAAGAGCCGUGAUUCAAGGUUUGCCGCGGGAUGAAUCGGAAGAAGGAGCUCUGUAGGAAUUUCCAGCGCGGAAGUUGCCAAUAUGGAUCUCGCUGCAAAUUUCUUCAUACCACUCAACAAGAGGCAAAACCUAAUCCCUACGGUUUUGGCAACCAGAGUACCAUACAUUUUCCAAAUACUACUCACCAACAAAAGCCAAAUCCUUAUGGAUUUGGAGUGCAAAACAAGCCCCAAUUACACAACAACAGCCCUCAGAAAGGUUCCUCCAAUUUCGUAGCUAAAUACCAAACUCCUGCCAAGCCAUUUGAAAACAAGUGGACAAGAUCAUCCUCGCCUGGAGCUACAAAUGUAACUGCUACACAAGUUCAAGCUCAGUCCCAAGCAUCAGAUCACAAGUGUACAGAUCCUGAAUCCUGCAAAAAACAAAUAAUUGAAGACUUUAAGAAUGAAGCACCUCUUUGGAAGCUUAGUUGUUAUGGCCAUCACAAGUAUGGCCCUUGUGACAUUAUUGGUGAUAUCAGUUAUGAAGAACUCCGGUCAGCUGCAUAUGAUGAUGCUAGGCAAGGAUUAAGUGUUCAGUCUGUUGCUGAGAGAGAGAGGAAGUUAUACCUUUCCAAGUUGAAUGAAUUUGAUAAUUUAUUGAAAAAACCAUAUGGUUCACAAAGUCCUAGUUUUCAUCAGAUGAACUCCCCUCCCAUUUCAAGCUCACCUCAGAUGAGUCAGUCUCCUGUGUUCAUGAACAAUGCAUCAUCUGUAAAUGUUCAAGGAAAUAAUGUCCCCUCUUUUUCAAGUUUUAGUCAACUAAAGGCAGCAAGUAAUCUUAGCUCUGAGAACAGGUCUGAACCACAAGGAUUCCCUAGCGGUAAUUUUGGUCAACCUAGCCCUUUCCAGAAAGCCAGCCAAAGUUCUUUUGGUCUUGGAAAAUUUGGAAAUUCAGGAUUGUUUGGUCAGCAGCAAAUACAACCAGCUGGAAACUUUCCAAAUCCAAGCGUUUCUUCAUUUAACUUUGCUAUAAGGCCUACUGGGUCUUUGUCUCCCCAGAACUUUGAUGGCACAAAUAGUCAACAACUCAACUCUGUUAGUAGGGCUGCUACCCCUUCAAGUGAUGAUGAUGUGGUAAUUUAUUGGAAUUCAAUGCAUGAGGAUCCAACUCGUGAUCUGACUAAUCCUAGAGGUGGAUGGCCCGGUCCCACAAAUCGGCCAGACGUAAAUCCGGGAAGUGCAAUGGUCCUAGCAUGGCACCUAUCGUCACGAGUGGUUCGAACUCUGUAGGUGUUCGAAAAUGCCCAAUGUGAGAUUCGAACCCUCGUUGCAUUUCUAAGAGCCAAUUUAGGUAGAUGUCAUUUCCAAGAUCGGCAUGAUACCUCGAAAGGUUUGAGGUUGAUAGUAUUUGGAGAAAGGAAGAAUGGAAGAUAGGAGAGAUUCCUGAAAGACCGCCUCCAGCUGGAGUAUGUUGACAAUAUUCCUACUGCAGUGGAAAGGAAGAUCUGCUUAACCUCACGGGCUCAGCAGAUGCAUUAUCUGCCAAGUGCUGCUUUCUCCAAGAUGUGGGAGGAUGUUCACUUUUUCCAACUUAAUGCGAUAAGCAUCAGGCAUCAAGAAUAUAAUCUUUGGAACUCUUUGCUUCAUCAAACUCUUUUGAGGCCAUGAUUCUUUCAAGCUGAAGUUCUUCGCAUAAAAAACUAAACUGCUCAUGAAGAACCUCUGCCUGGUGGAUUGGAGGAAUUUGAUUCUGAUGCACAAGGUUCUGAAGAACCUCUAUUUGCAAGUUUGCAAGUUUUUUUGUCUCUGUUUUUAUUUUCUCAAUUUAUUAUUGUAAUUAUUAUAUAUUUGAUGUAAAAUUAAUUUUUUUUGUUUAAAAAAGAAGUUAUUAUUAUGAUAAUCAAUUUAUCCUCGGUUGUCAUUUC